UAAUUUUAGGUGAAACGUUUAAACAAAAC
rnacentral:piRNA from 1 species